rnacentral:rRNA from 1 species
GACGAACGCUGGCGGCGUGCCUAAUACAUGCAAGUAGAACGCAGUGGCGAACGGGUGAGUAACGCGUAGGUAACUGCCCCACAGCGUGGGAUAACCAUUGGAAACGUUAGCUAAUACCCCAUACUGUGAGAUGGACCGGCGUUGCAUUGGGUAGUUGGUGAGGUAAAGGCGCACCAAGGUGACGAUACAUCGCCGACCUGAGAGGGUGAUCGGCGACAACGGGCCUGAGACGAGGACCGGACUCCUACGGGAGGCAGCAGUAGGGAAUCUUCGGCAAUGGACGAAAGUCUGACCGAGCAACGCGGCGUGAGUGAAGAAGGUGUUCGGAUCGUAACGCUCUGUUGUUAGGGAAGCGGUAACUAACCAGAAAGGGACGGCUAACUACGUGCCAGCAGCCGCGGUAAUAC